rnacentral:rRNA from 1 species
CCUACGGGAGGCAGCAGUGGGGAAUCUUGCGCAAUGGGGGCAACCCUGACGCAGCCAUGCCGCGUGAAUGAUGAAGGCCUUAGGGUUGUAAAGUUCUUUUGCCCGUGACGAUGAUGACGGUAACGGGAGAAUAAGCUCCGGCUAACUUCGUGCCAGCAGCCGCGGUAAUACGAAGGGGGCUAGCGUUGUUCGGAAUUACUGGGCGUAAAGCGCGCGCAGGCGGUUCGAUAAGUUAGGGGUGAAAUCCCUGGGCUCAACCCAGGAAUGGCCUUUAAGACUGUCGAGCUAGAGGACGAGAGAGGUGAGUGGAAUUCCCAGUGUAGAGGUGAAAUUCGUAGAUAUUGGGAAGAACACCGGUGGCGAAGGCGGCUCACUGGCUCGUUUCUGACGCUGAGGCGCGAAAGCGUGGGGAGCAAACAGGAUUAGAUACCCUGGUAGUCCACGCCCUAAACGAUGAGUGCCAGGUGUCGGGAAGCUUAGCUUCUCGGCGCCGCAGCUAACGCCUUAAGCACUCCGCCUGGGGAGUACGGCCGCAGGUUAAACUCAAAGAUAUGACGNGNGAGNGCGACGAGCACACGGAGGUAGAG